UACGGGAGGCAGCAGUGGGGAAUAUUGGACAAUGGGCGAAAGCCUGAUCCAGCCAUGCCGCGUGAGUGAUGAAGGCCCUAGGGUUGUAAAGCUCUUUUGUCCGGGAAGAUAAUGACUGUACCGGAAGAAUAAGCCCCGGCUAACUUCGUGCCAGCAGCCGCGGUAAUACGAAGGGGGCUAGCGUUGCUCGGAAUCACUGGGCGUAAAGGGCGCGUAGGCGGAUCUUUAAGUCGGGGGUGAAAGCCCAGGGCUCAACCCUGGAAUUGCCUUCGAUACUGAAGAUCUUGAGACCGGAAGAGGUUAGUGGAACUGCGAGUGUAGAGGUGAAAUUCGUAGAUAUUCGCAAGAACACCAGUGGCGAAGGCGGCUAACUGGUCCGGUUCUGACGCUGAGGCGCGAAAGCGUGGGGAGCAAACAGGAUUAGAUACCCUGGUAG
rnacentral:rRNA from 1 species